rnacentral:rRNA from 1 species
UUGAGAACAACGUACAAACCUUAUCGAUAAACAAUUGGAGGGCAAGUCUGGUGCCAGCAGCCGCGGUAAUUCCAGCUCCAAUAGCGUAUAUUAACGUUGUUGCAGUUAAAAAGCUCGUAGUUGAAAUGAAGGGUAGUUGUGUAAUGAAUACAUUCGUGUAUUUUGUUAUUCUACUACCCUCCUUCUAAAUUCGAUAUAUGAGUAUUAAUUUACUUGUAUAUGGUUUUAGACGUUUACUGUGAGAAAAUUAGAGUGUUCAAAGCAGGCAUUUGCUUGAAUAUAUUAGCAUGGAAUAAUCAUGUAUGAUUUUCAUGAUGUAUUUGAUUGGUUUGGUUCAUGAGAAUAAGAUUAAAAGGGACAGUUGGGGGUAUUCAUAUUCAAUAGUCAGAGGUGAAAUUCUCGGAUUUAUGGAAGAUGAAC